UACGAAGGGGGCUAGCGUUGCUCGGAAUUACUGGGCGUAAAGCGCACGUAGGCGGUCUUUAAGUCGGGGUGGAAAUCCUGGAGCUCAACUCCAGAACUGCCUUCGAUACUGGAAGACUUGAGUCCGGGAGAGGGUGAGUGGAACUGCGAGUGUAGAGGUGAAAUUCGUAGAUAUUCGCAAGAACACCAGUGGCGAAGGCGGCUCACUGGCCCCGGUACUGACGCUGAGUGCGGAAAGCGAUGGGGAGCGUAACGGAGAAUGAGAUACCCUU
rnacentral:rRNA from 1 species